CUGCACUGCGCGAAUGGGUCCACGUGGGGUAGACGUACCAGACGAAGAAUUUGAAGGGCCAGCAGCAGCCUUUAACUUUUGUGUAUAUUCAUUUACAUGUUUCAUUGAGGGCCUCAGCUGCGUUAAACCGCGCAACGGCACAAUAUGAAAUUGCCCGUCGCGAAUUAGACCGACCAUCAAAUUGGUCCUUGGUUUCUGAAGUCUUCCAGAAAGUGUUUGGGUCUGAAUUGGCUUUUUGCCGUUACCAUAUUUCAUUGCCUUAUCCUCAUUAUAGUAUUUUGUUGUAGGAAUGGGUACAUCGACCUCCAUCCAGCCAGUCUUCGGUUUCACUCGAACAUCGAUUGGUGCUUCACCAUUUGCAUCACUGUAUGUGCGGUUUUUAGGACGAAGGGGAAAUUGAUUUAGUAAAAGAUUAUUUCUAAGUCCGGGUGAGAAAAAUACCGGAUAUGUCCGCACCACUGGAUCCUGCUCUUCAGUUUCAUCAUUUCUCAGUUUGGCUUCUUCCAUUGCUUGAUCUUCUGAAAAGGACAUUCUUUAAGUCUUUUUAUCUAUUAACUUUUCCGUAAAUUAUCUUUAUACCCUUUUUCCCUGCAAAAAGUACUGUUAAAUUGAGGCGACAAAUUUUUACCUAGUAAAUGAAAUCCUUUGCCAAAAUAUUAAUAUACCUUUUCCACUUUCCAAUCAGUUUUUUAAUACAAUAGCUGUCUUCAAAAAAUGCAGAAAAUCUUUAUUGUGAAUGCCUCUCGACAAAAUUUCCAAAUUAUUAAAAGAAAAUGGUUUUUAUCAAAAUAUAAAAUUGGUCGGUUUCUAUAAUUCGAACUCCGGCCUUUUAACAUUAUUGCCUACAGCGAGCGAAUUGCUAAGCGGAAAAUAUCUUCCAAUAACAUACUGCGCAAUUCCUCUAGCUACCAAUACCA